GUGGGGAAUCUUGCGCAAUGGGCGAAAGCCUGACGCAGCCAUGCCGCGUGAAUGAUGAAGGUCUUAGGAUUGUAAAAUUCUUUCACCGGGGACGAUAAUGACGGUACCCGGAGAAGAUGCCCCGGCUAACUUCGUGCCAGCAGCCGCGGUAAUACGAAGGGGGCUAGCGUUGCUCGGAAUUACUGGGCGUAAAGGGCGCGUAGGCGGAUCGUUAAGUCAGGGGUGAAAUCCCAGAGCUCAACUCUGGAACUGCCCUUGAUACUGGCGAUCUUGAGUGUGAGAGAGGUAUGUGGAACUCCGAGUGUAGAGGUGAAAUUCGUAGAUAUUCGGAAGAACACCAGUGGCGAAGGCGACAUACUGGCUCAUUACUGACGCUGAGGCGCGAAAGCGUGGGGAGCAAACAGGAUUAGAAACCCUGGUAGUCC
rnacentral:rRNA from 1 species